AUUGAACGCUGGCGGCAUGCCUUACACAUGCAAGUCGAACGGUAACAGGUCUUCGGAUGCUGACGAGUGGCGAACGGGUGAGUAAUACAUCGGAACGUGCCUAGUAGUGGGGGAUAACUACUCGAAAGAGUGGCUAAUACCGCAUGAGAUCUACGGAUGAAAGCAGGGGGUCGCAAGACCUUGUGCUACUAGAGCGGCCGAUGGCAGAUUAGGUAGUUGGUGGGAUAAAAGCUUACCAAGCCGACGAUCUGUAGCUGGUCUGAGAGGACGAUCAGCCACACUGGGACUGAGACACGGCCCAGACUCCUACGGGAGGCAGCAGUGGGGAAUUUUGGACAAUGGGCGCAAGCCUGAUCCAGCAAUGCCGCGUGCAGGAUGAAGGCCUUCGGGUUGUAAACUGCUUUUGUACGGAACGAAAAGCCCUGGGUUAAUACCCUGGGGUCAUGACGGUACCGUAUGAAUAAGCACCGGCUAACUACGUGCCAGCAGCCGCCGUAAGAC
rnacentral:rRNA from 1 species